ACCCGAAACCCGGUGAUCUAGCCAUGGGCAGGUUGAAGGUUGGGUAACACUAACUGGAGGACCGAACCGACUAAUGUUGAAAAAUUAGCGGAUGACUUGUGGCUGGGGGUGAAAGGCCAAUCAAACCGGGAGAUAGCUGGUUCUCCCCGAAAGCUAUUUAGGUAGCGCCUCGUGAAUUCAUCUCCGGGGGUAGAGCACUGUUUCGGCAAGGGGGUCAUCCCGACUUACCAACCCGAUGCAAACUGCGAAUACCGGAGAAUGUUAUCACGGGAGACACACGGCGGGUGCUAACGUCCGUCGUGAAGAGGGAAACAACCCAGACCGCCAGCUAAGGUCCCAAAGUCAUGGUUAAGUGGGAAACGAUGUGGGAAGGCCCAGACAGCCAGGAUGUUGGCUUAGAAGCAGCCAUCAUUUAAAGAAAGCGUAAUAGCUCACUGGUCGAGUCGGCCUGCGCGGAAGAUGUAACGGGGCUAAACCAUGCACCGAAGCUGCGGCAGCGACACUAUGUGUUGUUGGGUAGGGGAGCGUUCUGUAAGCCUGCGAAGGUGUGCUGUGAGGCAUGCUGGAGGUAUCAGAAGUGCGAAUGCUGACAUAAGUAACGAUAAAGCGGGUGAAAAGCCCGCUCGCCGGAAGACCAAGGGUUCCUGUCCAACGUUAAUCGGGGCAGGGUGAGUCGACCCCUAAGGCGAGGCCGAAAGGCGUAGUCGAUGGGAAACAGGUUAAUAUUCCUGUACUUGGUGUUACUGCGAAGGGGGGACGGAGAAGGCUAUGUUGGCCGGGCGACGGUUGUCCCGGUUUAAGCGUGUAGGCUGGUUUUCCAGGCAAAUCCGGAAAACCAAGGCUGAGGCGUGAUGACGAGGCACUACGGUGCUGAAGCGACAAAUGCCCUGCUUCCAGGAAAAGCCUCUAAGCAUCAGGUAACAUCAAAUCGUACCCCAAACCGACACAGGUGGUCAGGUAGAGAAUACCAAGGCGCUUGAGAGAACUCGGGUGAAGGAACUAGGCAAAAUGGUGCCGUAACUUCGGGAGAAGGCACGCUGAUAUGUAGGUGAAGCGACUUGCUCGUGGAGCUGAAAUCAGUCGAAGAUACCAGCUGGCUGCAACUGUUUAUUAAAAACACAGCACUGUGCAAACACGAAAGUGGACGUAUACGGUGUGACGCCUGCCCGGUGCCGGAAGGUUAAUUGAUGGGGUUAGCGGUAACGCGAAGCUCUUGAUCGAAGCCCCGGUAAACGGCGGCCGUAACUAUAACGGUCCUAAGGUAGCGAAAUUCCUUGUCGGGUAAGUUCCGACCUGCACGAAUGGCGUAAUGAUGGCCAGGCUGUCUCCACCCGAGACUCAGUGAAAUUGAACUCGCUGUGAAGAUGCAGUGUACCCGCGGCAAGACGGAAAGACCCCGUGAACCUUUACUAUAGCUUGACACUGAACAUUGAGCCUUGAUGUGUAGGAUAGGUGGGAGGCUUUGAAGUGUGGACGCCAGUCUGCAUGGAGCCGACCUUGAAAUACCACCCUUUAAUGUUUGAUGUUCUAACGUUGGCCCGUAAUCCGGGUUGCGGACAGUGUCUGGUGGGUAGUUUGACUGGGGCGGUCUCCUCCUAAAGAGUAACGGAGGAGCACGAAGGUUGGCUAAUCCUGGUCGGACAUCAGGAGGUUAGUGCAAUGGCAUAAGCCAGCUUGACUGCGAGCGUGACGGCGCGAGCAGGUGCGAAAGCAGGUCAUAGUGAUCCGGUGGUUCUGAAUGGAAGGGCCAUCGCUCAACGGAUAAAAGGUACUCCGGGGAUAACAGGCUGAUACCGCCCAAGAGUUCAUAUCGACGGCGGUGUUUGGCACCUCGAUGUCGGCUCAUCACAUCCUGGGGCUGAAGUAGGUCCCAAGGGUAUGGCUGUUCGCCAUUUAAAGUGGUACGCGAGCUGGGUUUAGAACGUCGUGAGACAGUUCGGUCCCUAUCUGCCGUGGGCGCUGGAGAACUGAGGGGGGCUGCUCCUAGUACGAGAGGACCGGAGUGGACGCAUCACUGGUGUUCGGGUUGUCAUGCCAAUGGCACUGCCCGGUAGCUAAAUGCGGAAGAGAUAAGUGCUGAAAGCAUCUAAGCACGAAACUUGCCCCGAGAUGAGUUCUCCCUGAGACUUAGAGUCUCCUGAAGGAACGUUGAAGACGACGACGUUGAUAGGCCGGGUGUGUAAGCGCAGCGAUGCGUUGAGCUAACCGGUACUAAUGAACCGUGAGGCUUAACCUUACAACGCCGAAG
rnacentral:rRNA from 1 species